rnacentral:lncRNA from 1 species
CCAGGAGCCACCACAGCCCUGUCUGUGACUCUCAGCUCCCGAGGCUGGGCUCUUCCCCAGGGAAGCUGCAUGACCAUGGCCACAUACAGGAGGAGACCCUAAAACUCCAUUGGCCUCAUGUCCAGAACUGAAUCAGGUUCAGCUCGUGGAAGACAUUCAGGAUCCGGUCUCGAGACUUCUGGGCCGACCGUCUCAUGAGGACCCUGCUGAGGAACUUCCUGUCGAAGUGGGACCACCUGUAGGGACAGACCUUGGGUGUGAGCCUCAGGUGACAGGCGCCCUAGAGCCCGCCGGACGCGUGGCCCGGCCCCUUCUCUCCUGAAUUUUGUUUGCUAUAGUGACCCUGUAGGCGCGUUUAAAAUGAGGGAAGCAGCCCCUGCCACACGCCCAGGCCGUCCGCCGUUCUCCCGCCUGUCCUGUUGGAUGGAGGCCGUUAGACGCAUAUGAAACUGCAUGCCGCCUCCUCCAGAGGGUGGCUCAGGACACGCCUAACGGAAUUAGAGUAUUCGCUGGUUAUCCAGAUCAGAAGGGACGGUGGCCUGGCCGGACUUAGAGGAAACUCUGGGGCACAAGGAGGUGAUGCCUGUCACUUGGACAUGGGUGCAGCCGCCAGAGCCGCCCUCCAGGGCACAGGGUGGGCCCGGGUGAGCUUGUGUGCUCACACCUGGGCAGGCCCCGCGGCAGCAAUGGCAGCUCUCCUGUACAGGCUGAGUUUCAGCCACACCAAGAAGUCAAAGCUAACCGAGGCUGUGCCUUCCGAGACCCCCGGGAUGGCCCCUGGGAGGCCAAGGAGUCGGGGACUGGGUACCCGGAGCAGAGUCACUGUGGCCACGGAGAACCGCAGCUGAGCUUUAUGAAGCCACGUGGCCACACCUCCCGGUGCCUCCACCCCAAGCAAACACAGAUCGCUCAGAAAAUGGGAACCCAGGGCAAAUUGUAUGUGCUCCUUACUGGGUUUAUUAUAAGUGUCACAUGUUUUUUAUAAUAAAACAUAGGUGAUUU